GCCCGGGUGGUGGAAUUGGCAGACACGCAGGUUUCAGGUACCUGUGGAGCGAUCCGUGUGGGUUCAAAUCCCACCUCGGGCA
rnacentral:tRNA from 2 species